UCAGUUUUCCAAACCAGAGAAGAGUCUCAAAGUGUCUUCUGCAAAUGGCACCAAUCUCAGGUGUUACUCAUGCCUUUCUGAGAAAAUGUCUUGAAUAUUUCAUCAAAUGUGAGGGGAAAAAUCCAUAAAUAUGUAACUUCGACCCAUGUGAUGACAAGCCUUUGGCUAGUGCUGUUGCCAGCCAUGCUUUGCAGUCACUGACACAAACAGCGGGGGACGCAACUGAGGCAGGACCAAGCCCUCCAUUUUGCCAUCUGCUUGUUCUGAAUUUCUGAACUGGGCCAAGUCGAUGCUGUUUUUCACGAAAAUCUCUCCAUGGGUGGAAUACAAUGCAGCCAUAAAAAAGAAUGCGUUCAUGUCCUUUGCAGGGACAUGGAUGAA
rnacentral:lncRNA from 1 species